UGACUAACAGUCAACUAUAGUCAAUAAUUGUAGUUCAAUGAGUAUAAACUAACACCAACAGAACACAAUUUUCAAAAAUUUUGUAUCCCACACAAGAAAAGAUAGUCCAGUCCCAUUCUUCAACAUGCAAAAGAAAUAAAUGCCCUCAUUUUCAUCAAAAAUUACCAAACACAACUUUGCAUACAAAACCAAACAGUUGAUGAAAUCUUAUAAAAAAAACUUCAUAAUCUUAAUCCUUGAUGGUUUUGCAUUAAAUAAAAGUCUUCUACUACUCUUUGUCAACAUUUGCAUCAACUACAACUCAUGUACUUGCCUUUUCUCUUUUCAUUAGCUCCAUAAAGUCAUCAAAUAUUGCAGUCACUCAUAUAUCAAGUUUCAGUUGUUCACACAAAUAAAGGAGCUAAAUGUAAGAAAUAGCAACCAACUUCCAUUAAUUUGGUUAUUGUAGCACCCUACUUUCAUUUCUUUUUAUUAUGUCAUCGUACUUCCAGUUUUUUUUUCUUAGUAUCUGAAGGGCAUUGUUAAUAACCAGGGAUUUUAAGUACAACCCUGUCAUAGGAAAAAAUGAAGUAGUAUGCCAUAAUAAACAAAGCAAUAAAAGUAGAAUGAUAUUUUUUUCAUUUUUUUUAAUGUUUGUUAAUCAACAAAGUUUGUGAAAGUUCAAAUCUGGUGAAUAUAAAAACAAAUAAAAUGCCAUUAAACAUAUAUAAUGAGGGCAUUUUGGUCUUUUUAAGAUUCCCAUAUCAUAUAGAGUAGAGAAGGCCAUUACCAACGAUAUCUCAUGUGCGUGACAUCUCUAGAAGUUCUUUUUAGCUAUGUGGAUACACAAAACAAUGAAAACGGUUAGAAGAAAUAAAGCAGAAUUAUAUAUGCAGAUCAAAGUAAUUUUUAGCUACAUUCAAAGUUAUAAUCAGCAAUUCAUUUUUAUCCCACAUAAAAGUAACUUUUAUGUUUUUCUUCAAUAAGAUGGAUGAAAACAAUGUGAUAAAGGAUGUUGAAGCACAAAUGUGCUAGUAACAUUUCGUAAAUGUUAUACAUUAGAAUGAAUUCCCAAAUAUAGAGCAAAUGAUGAGCUAAUUUCUUAAACAAAAUUAGAAAACUCUUAACACGACUUUCACUUGGGCAUUGUAUCAAACAAUUGGUGAGUAAAGUGGAAGUAGAAAGAAACAGUAAAUUACCAGCAUUGAAUCUCCAAGCAAAAGACCAUUAUGCACACGAUUUCGCAAUUGAACUGAUGAGGAGUCAUACAGGUUGUCUAAACUCAUUAAAACCCUACAUGCAAAAAAGAUGUAAGAUGAGAAAUGGGUUUGGGAAGAACAAUGUGAUAAAGGUCGCAAUUCAACUAAACCCUAGCAUACCUGAUUCAGUGGGUGGAGGUUUCACCAUUAAGGUCGUUGGAAUCAGAAGAAAAAGGGAAUAAGAAAAUGAUUGAAACCAGGGAGAUAAAAAGGAAUUAAUAUACUGAUUUUUGCUGAUAUGAUAUAUUACCUGUUUUGGGAGAUUUGGGUAUGAAUUAAGAAUGGAGAGGAGGAAACAUAGGCAAGAUUGAAGGUUCUUGUGAACAAUCUUCUUAAAUGUUUUAAAAUAGCAUGAUAUUCUCCUAAUUUAAUGCUAUUAAUUUAAAUGUUUGUUGCAAUGAUU
rnacentral:lncRNA from 1 species